GGCAGCAGUGCUUUUUAUCUUCUUUUUCCUCUGCUCAACUUCUGCCAUGCUCAGGUAUCUCAAAUUUGACACGGGUGGGUUGGCUGUUGCAGCUGCUUGGCUGGCCUUUCAUCACCUGUUUUUUUAGGUUUGAUGGGUUGUGGAGAGAGUUUUUGUUUGGCUGUGGCUCAACUUUUGUUGUCAACGCAGAAUCAAGCCCUUUUUCCCUGCUUUGUUUCUGCUAUGCUCAGCUCUGUCACGACUGAGUUGGCUGUUGCAGCUUUUUUGGGAUCCUUGGGCUGCAUUUCUGCUGGGUCUAUUGCAGGUUUGUGUUGUGUUAUCACUAUCUCUGCAGAAUCUUUUUUCGGUUGGUUUGCUGUAGCUUUUCAUUCCUAAGUGGAUGUUCUUCUUUCCCAGGUGUCGAUGGUCCACAUCUGGGCGUGGCUUACGUGGCUUCUUUGAUUUUUUUUGGCGUCGUUGUUGGUUUGUUUCUGUCUAAUUAGCGCGGGUUAUUGGCUGCUCUGUGGCUUGCCAACCAUGUGCUUGCUUUUGGGUCUGGAAGGAUGGCUGAGCUUUGUGUGGAUUGGUCAAGCUGCUUCCUCCCUGGAUCAUUGUCGACUCUGGCGCUCGUGGGAGGUGGUUGUAAUUUCCAGCUUUUUGUGGAUUGCUAAGCUUUGGGGGAGAAGUGAUCCCUGGGUCUGACUCAGCUUCUUCUCUAAAUUGAGCUAAAUGUGGUGGCUACUUCUUUCUAUGGCUGGGACAACAACAUCAUUAUGUAUUUAAUGCAUAAACCCACUUGGCCUCACCUUGGGUUUCUUCCCAACAUUGGGAGAGGUUAUUCUGCUUAGUUGAAGUUAAUUUAGGCAUUUAGGCCUUGUUUGU